rnacentral:rRNA from 1 species
UGGGGAAUAUUGCACAAUGGAGGGAACUCUGAUGCAGCGACGCCGCGUGAGUGAUGAAGGAAUUCGUUUCGUAAAACUCUGUUCUAUGGGAAGAAAAGGACUGUACCAUAGGAGAAAGCUCCGUCUAAAUACGUUCCAGCAGCCGCGGUAAUACGUAUGGAGCGAGCGUUGUCCGGAAUUAUUGGGCGUAAAGGGUGCGCAGGCGGCUUUACAAGUUGAAUGUGAAAUAUUGUGGCUCAACCACAAACGUGCAUCCAAAACUGCAAAGCUUGAGUGAAGGAGAGGUAAGUGGAAUUCCUGGUGUAGCGGUGGAAUGCGUAGAUAACAGGAGGAAUACCGGUGGCGAAGGCGACUUACUGGACUUAAACUGACGCUCAGGCACGAAAGCGUGGGGAGCAAACAGG